GCCAGUCUGCGUGGAGCCAACCUUGAAAUACCACCCUUUAAUGUUUGAUGUUCUAACGUAGACCCGUGAUCCGGGUUGCGGACAGUGUCUGGUGGGUAGUUUGACUGGGGCGGUCUCCUCCCAAAGAGUAACGGAGGAGCACGAAGGUUAGCUAAUCCUGGUCGGACAUCAGGAGGUUAGUGCAAUGGCAUAAGCUAGCUUGACUGCGAGCGUGACGGCGCGAGCAGGUGCGAAAGCAGGUCAUAGUGAUCCGGUGGUUCUGAAUGGAAGGGCCAUCGCUCAACGGAUAAAAGGUACUCCGGGGAUAACAGGCUGAUACCGCCCAAGAGUUCAUAUCGACGGCGGUGUUUGGCACCUCGAUGUCGGCUCAUCACAUCCUGGGGCUGAAGUAGGUCCCAAGGGUAUGGCUGUUCGCCAUUUAAAGUGGUACGCGAGCUGGGUUUAGAACGUCGUGAGACAGUUCGGUCCCUAUCUGCCGUGGGCGCUGGAGAAUUGAGGGGGGCUGCUCCUAGUACGAGAGGACCGGAGUGGACGCAUCACUGGUGUUCGGGUUGUCAUGCCAAUGGCAUUGCCCGGUAGCUAAAUGCGGAAAAGAUAAGUGCUGAAAGCAUCUAAGCACGAAACUUGCC
rnacentral:rRNA from 1 species